GAUGAACGCUGGCGGCGUGCCUAAUACAUGCAAGUCGAGCGAACAGACGAGGAGCUUGCUCCUCUGACGUUAGCGGCGGACGGGUGAGUAACACGUGGAUAACCUACCUAUAAGACUGGGAUAACUUCGGGAAACCGGAGCUAAUACCGGAUAAUAUAUUGAACCGCAUGGUUCAAUAGUGAAAGACGGUUUUGCUGUCACUUAUAGAUGGAUCCGCGCCGCAUUAGCUAGUUGGUAAGGUAACGGCUUACCAAGGCAACGAUGCGUAGCCGACCUGAGAGGGUGAUCGGCCACACUGGAACUGAGAAACGGUCCAGACUCCUACGGGAGGCAGCAGUAGGGAAUCUUACGCAAUGGGCGAAAGCCUGACGGAGCAACGCCGCGUGAGUGAUGAAGGUCUUCGGCUCGUAAAACUCUGUUAUUAGGGAAGAACAAAUGUGUAAGUAACUAUGCACGUCUUGACGGUACCUAAUCAGAAAGCCACGGCUAACUACGUG
rnacentral:rRNA from 1 species